UACGAAGGGGGCUAGCGUUGCUCGGAAUCACUGGGCGUAAAGCGCACGUAGGCGGCUUGUUAAGUCAGGGGUGAAAUCCUGGGGCUCAACCCCAGAACUGCCUUUGAUACUGGCGAUCUCGAGUCCGGAAGAGGUGAGUGGAACUCCUAGUGUAGAGGUGGAAUUCGUAGAUAUUAGGAAGAACACCAGUGGCGAAGGCGGCUCACUGGUCCGGUACUGACGCUGAGGUGCGAAAGCGUGGGGAGCAAACAGG
rnacentral:rRNA from 1 species